rnacentral:rRNA from 1 species
AUGUACAGCUUUCUUCGUUGCCGCCGGUCGGAUGGAUGGAUGGAUCAGGCCAUCUUGGCGGCGAAGCCGGAGGCCAUCAUGACCUUGAACUCGUCGAAGGAGAUGAGGCCGUCGCCGUUCUUGUCCACGCCCUCGAUCAUGCGGCGGCACUGCUGGACCGUGGCCUUCUCGCCGAGGACGUGGAGCACGCGCGCCAGCUCCGCGGCGGAGAUGUCGCCGCUGCCGUCCGCGUCGAACACCUUGAAGGCGAGCCGCAGGUCCUCCUCGUCGUCGCCGGGCGCGGUGGCGUUGAGCGCCGCGAACUCCUCCAGGCUGAUGAAGCCGUCGCCGUCCGCGUCCGCCUCGGCCAUCAUGCGGGUCAGCUCGUCCUCGGUGGCCGCGUGGCCCAGGCUCUCGAAGAGGGCGGCCAGCUCCGGCCGCGAGAUCCGGCCGUCGCCGUUGGCGUCGAACUUGCGGAACACCCGCUCCAUCUCCUCCUCCGCCGACCGCGCCGGGGACCCCGCGCCCGACGCCGGCCGGUUCUCCUCCCGCUCCUCCUGGGGAGGCGGCGGCGGGGAGGCGGAGCGCGACUUGGAGGAGGAGCGGCGGCGGAACAGGGCCGGCAUCUUGAUCUUGCCCAUCGCCGACGACGUCUACUUAGCGGCGCUAGCAACGAGGAAACUCUUCUUGGCUUUGGUUCCGCUCGAUUCGAUUCGAUGGCUUGCUCUGCGGUGGUUGCAGGUUCGUUCCAGAGGGGGACGUCGGGCAUUUAUAGAUAGAUGGAGGAGGAGGCAGCCACCAUUGGAGGAGAUUCGGAGGCGAGGAAGGAGCGGAGGAAGGUGUGCGACUAGACUCCGACUCUGGCUAGCUGUGCGUGGGCGUGGGCCGCGCUGGAGGUUGCGCGUGGUCUCUGACGGUGGGCCCGUCAUGGAUAGUGAGAGGGGAGGCCCGGUCCCGCACGCGUCGAUUACAUCGCGGAUUACCGGAUUAAGCCAACGGCCGUGA